rnacentral:rRNA from 1 species
CACGAAGUUAGCCGGGGCUUCUUCUCACGCUACCGUCAUCAUCGUCGCGUGCGAAAGAGCUUUACAACCCGAAGGCCUUCAUCACUCACGCGGCAUUGCUGGAUCAGGCUUGCGCCCAUUGUCCAAUAUUCCCCACUGCUGCCUCCCGUAGGAGUCUGGGCCGUGUCCUCAGUCCCAGUGUGGCUGAUCAUCCUCUCAGACCAGCUAAGGAUCGUUGCCUUGGUAGGCCGUUACCCCACCAACAAGCUAAUCCUACGCGGGCCCAUCCCAUGGCGAUAAAUCUUUGUCCCUCAAGACACAUACGGUAUUAGCUCCAGUUUCCCGGAGUUAUUCCGUACCACAGGGCAGGUUCCCACGCGUUACUCACCCGUGCGCCACUAGGGCCGAAGCCCCUCGUUCGACUUGCAUGUGUUAGGCAUGCCGCCAGCGUUCGUUCUGAGCCAGGAUCAAACUCU